rnacentral:rRNA from 1 species
GAUGAACGCUAGUUACAGGCUUAACACAUGCAAGUCGUGGGGCAUCAUGAUGUAGUAAUACAUUGAUGGCGACCGGCGCACGGGUGAGUAACGCGUAUCCAACCUAUCCUCCACUCAAGUAUAGGCUUCCGAAAGGGAGAUUAAUCCUUGAUAUCGUCAUUCUCUCUCCCUGUUAGAAUGAUAAAAGGACAUCGUUUCGGUAGAGGAUGGGGAUGCGUUCCAUUAGGUAGUAGGUGGUUUAACAGGCCACCUAGCCGAUGAUGGAUAGGGGUUCUGAGAGGAAUAUCCCCCACACUGGUACUGAGAUACGGACCAGACUCCUACGGGAGGCAGCAGUGAGGAAUAUUGGUCAAUGGGCGCAAGCCCUGAACCAGCCAUGUAGCGUGAAGG